UCAGAUAGCUCCUUGUUCCAGCUUACACUUCUCAAUAUCUAUAGACCCCUUCCGGCGUAGUCGGUGUUAACUACAGGUAUUUUAAUCUGUUGCCCCUGUCACUUCUGAAGCACUUCCCUUUGUUUACUUGGCUUCUGUUUUCUGGUCUCUUCAGUGUCUAAUUUCCACCCUGACACAAGCGAGUAGAGGUGGUCUCUUGUUUAGGUUCAAUCGCUCAGUCAUG